rnacentral:rRNA from 1 species
AUCGAGCUAAGACUAAAAGUCUCCGAACGUGCAUGCCUUCCAUAUGCGCGUAUACGUGAGCCGCACAGUGAGCUGCACACAUGUGGUGGUGGUGGCCGUCAGCCGUGUUUUUUUGGCAGACAAUGGUCUGUAGCUUGCUGUGUGUUGAGGGGGGAUAGGUGACGUAUUGGGCUAGUUAGAAAGGUACGCCGCGAGCGCCUAUCCUCUCGUUAUUGGCAAAAACGGUAUCCAUUUGGUGUCUACACCCUACCUAGCUACUGCCUGGACCGUCGGUAGCUAUCAAAGGUGGGGAUAAAGCUCCUCGUCUUUACGGCGAGUCGAGUAGACUUAAUGAGUCUCAGCGAGGAGGCCACCAAAACCCAAACACAACCAGUCUUUUGUUUGAAAUGUUGUGAAGGUACUUCCUCGUGUUGUGCCUUUGAAACUGAGUAUAAAUCUUAGCGGUGGAUCACUCGGUUCGUGGAUCGAUGAAGAACGCAGCUAGCUGCGAUAACUAGUGCGAAUUGCAGACACAUUGAGCACUAAGAAUUCGAACGCACAUUGCGCCAUCGGGUUCAUUCCCGUUGGCACGUCUGGCUGAGGGUCGAAUUUGAAUAUCAAACAUCCGUGUGCUUUCCAACUCAUGGUGUAUUCGGCGAGCUAUGAUGGUGUUGUUGGCAAUGUGCUGCGUGUGUGUGUUGCGGCCUCUUUUAAGGAGAGGUCACUUCAUGUGCUCGAGGCAUGGCCGACGCGCCGACAUACCUUGCUAAGGCUUUGUGCCAUAUAUCGCUCGUAAUCAUUUGCUCCAUGCGAGGCGAUGAUGGCCGUCAAGUGUCGCUCUCUUAACCAUAGAUACGGCUCCGAGCACGUGUUUGCCAAUUGGCUAUCGGUUUGGGGUGCCCGUAUCAGAAUUGCUGGAAAUGGAAGAGAGGGUGAUGCUAGGUUGCUGUCACUAUGUUUUGACCUCAGCUCAGUCGUGACUACCCGCUGAAUUUAAGCAUAUAACUA